UGGCUCUCGCAUCGAUGAAGAACGCAGCGAAAUGCGAUAAGUAAUGUGAAUUGCAGAAUUCAGUGAAUCAUCGAAUCUUUGAACGCACCUUGCGCUCCUUGGUAUUCCGAGGAGCAUGCCUGUUUGAGUGUCAUGAAAUUCUCAACCUUCCUAGUUUUCGAACUAGUUAGGCUUGGAUUAUGGAAGUUGCUGGUUCUACUCGAAUCAGCUCUUCUUAAAUAUGUUAGCAAAGACCUUUGCUGACCAUCUUUGGUAUGAUAAUUAUCUAUAUCAUUGAUAACCAGUUCCCUUUUACGGGGGAGGCCUUGCUUCUAAUAGUCUUAGAGACAACUUUUUUUUGACAACUUUGACCUCAAAUCAGGUAGGACUACCCGCUGA
rnacentral:misc_RNA from 1 species